rnacentral:lncRNA from 1 species
GUUGACUAAAUGAUAUUUAAAAAAAAAUCAGCUGCUGGCCAUAUAAAAAUUCCAUUUUUCAAGAUGACCACCGCUCAUUUUGCAAAUGGCGUCAUAUCCAAUUAGCUACAUUUCGUAAAUCCUUGAAAGCUGUGUUAUAGGUAUAAUCCAAUGCAAGUUUUGAUAAAACGUAAAUAAAAAAUCCUAAAGUACGACAACACAACACAUAAACAGUGAAGAAAAGGGUGACUUCCUGUUCCAAAAUGGCGGCAAAAACGUUGGUUUUUUUUUAAAACAAUCAACUUUACAAGUGAUAUCAUUUUCUUUGUUAAGUUUAAAUGCAUAGAUUGGUUCGAAAGACACGUUGCUUAUCUUAUAAUUAUCCGACAGUUGCCAAUACAAAAACCCGAACGAGGAAGGCCAGGACGGUAGCAUUUACAGCUAUACCAAAACAGCGGCAUUUUUAGCCUCCGCAUCGCAAAAGUUCCUGACACGAGAAUGAAACGGCAACCAAAGAGUCCAUUUUUGGUUUUCAACUGUCAUUGAUGUUUUCUUGAAUCCAACCCCAGUGUUCAUGACUUGGUACAUGUACCUGUCGAAUAAAUGAAUAAGGUUAAGCCCAAACAUGUUCUCUUUGAAAGUUUCUCUUUUGAAUUGCUCCGGAAAACAAACUCUUGUAGGCGGAAUGCUUCCUGGCAGUCAAUUCACAUCGUGCCUUUUGAACAGCAAAUGGUGAUGUUGUUUUAUCUUACGUGAUGCAAACAAAUGCUUUUAUGAUGUCCAUGUCUGUGUCUUCAUACUUAAGCGAGAAAAAAAAAACGUCCGUUACAUCUGGAAAUACUUCCCAUGGCAGCCAAACUGACCUCUUCUCUUCCCCAAGAAAAUCCGACAAAGUGUCACAUCCACUGAAUGCAUGGACGAAAGGAAGAGCAACUACACGAGGACCAAACGCAUUAGAUAUGACACGUACAGGAAGCCAUCAAAAGUCUUUAUUCCUUCCAAUAUCUAUCCAUAAUUUGUUCCACCUAAUUUUGAGAGUGCUGCAAUUCUUAAUACUACUACAUCUGUGUCAGUACUACCUAAAAUUACUUUUUACAACAAUUUUCAUAAUCAUAUAAAAAAGAGGAUGUGGUAAGAUUGCCAAUGAACACGAACACGGAC